GACGAACGCUGGCGGCGUGCUUAACACAUGCAAGUCGAACGGAAAGGCCCUGCUUGCAGGGUACUCGAGUGGCGAACGGGUGAGUAACACGUGGGUGAUCUGCCCUGCACUUCGGGAUAAGCCUGGGAAACUGGGUCUAAUACCGGAUAGGAGCCAUUUUUAAUGUGAUGGUUGGAAAGUUUUUUCGGUGUAGGAUGAGCUCGCGGCCUAUCAGCUUGUUGGUGGGGUAAUGGCCUACCAAGGCGGCGACGGGUAGCCGGCCUGAGAGGGUGGACGGCCACAUUGGGACUGAGAUACGGCCCAGACUCCUACGGGAGGCAGCAGUGGGGAAUAUUGCACAAUGGGCGCAAGCCUGAUGCAGCGACGCCGCGUGGGGGAUGACGGCCUUCGGGUUGUAAACUCCUUUCGCUAGGGACGAAGCUUUUUGUGACGGUACCUAGAGAAGAAGCACCGGCUAACUACGUG
rnacentral:rRNA from 1 species